rnacentral:misc_RNA from 1 species
GCGGAGGAAAAGAAACCAACAGGGAUUGCCCUAGUAACGGCGAGUGAAGCGGCAACAGCUCAAAUUUGAAAUCUGGCCCUUUCAGGGUCCGAGUUGUAAUUUGCAGAGGGUGCUUUGGUGUCGGUUGUGGUCUAAGUUCCUUGGAACAGGACGUCGCAGAGGGUGAGAAUCCCGUAUGUGGCCGCCAACCUUCACCGUGUAAAGCCCCUUCGACGAGUCGAGUUGUUUGGGAAUGCAGCUCUAAAUGGGAGGUAAAUUCCUUCUAAAGCUAAAUAUUGGCCAGAGACCGAUAGCGCACAAGUAGAGUGAUCGAAAGAUGAAAAGCACUUUGGAAAGAGAGUCAAAAAGCACGUGAAAUUGUUGAAAGGGAAGCGCUUGCAGCCAGACUUGCCUGCGGUUGCUCAUCCGGGCUCUUGCCCGGUGCACUCUUCCGUAGGCAGGCCAGCAUCAGUUCGGGCGGGUGGAUAAAGACCUGCUAAAUGUACCUCUCCUCGGGGAGGACUUAUAGGGUAGGUGACAUACACCCAGCCUGGACUGAGGUCCGCGCAUCUGCUAGGAUGCUGGCGUAAUGGCUGUAAGCGGCCCGUCUUGAAACACGGACCAAGGAGUCUAACAUCUAUGCGAGUGUUUGGGUGUCAAGCCCGGGCGCGUAAUGAAAGUGAACGGAGGUGGGAACCCUUCGGGGCGCACCAUCGACCGAUCCUGAUGUCUUCGGAUGGAUUUGAGUAAGAGCAUAGCUGUUGGGACCCGAAAGAUGGUGAACUAUGCCUGAAUAGGGUGAAGCCAGAGGAAACUCUGGUGGAGGCUCGCAGCGGUUCUGACGUGCAAAUCGAUCGUCAAAUU